rnacentral:tRNA from 1 species
AGCCCCUUAGCUGAGGAGAUUAGCAUCGCCCUUACAAGACGAAGACGUUGGUUCGAUUCCAACAGGGGCUACCA